rnacentral:rRNA from 1 species
AUUGAACGCUGGCGGAAUGCUUUACACAUGCAAGUCGAGCGGCAGCGCGGCCUUCGGGCUGGCGGCGAGCGGCGAACGGGUGAGUAAUGCAUCGGAACAUGCCCAGUCGUGGGGGAUAACACUUCGAAAGAAGUGCUAAUACCGCAUACGUCCUGAGGGGGAAAGCGGGGGAUCGCAAGACCUCGCGCGAUUGGAGUGGCCGAUGUCAGAUUAGCUAGUUGGUGGGGUAAAGGCCUACCAAGGCGACGAUCUGUAGCUGGUCUGAGAGGAUGAUCAGCCACACUGGGACUGAGACACGGCCCAGACUCCUACGGGAGGCAGCAGUGGGGAAUUUUGGACAAUGGGGGCAAACCUGAUCCAGCCAUUCCGCGUGAGUGAAGAAGGCCUUCGGGUUGUAAAGCUCUUUCGGCAGGAACGAAACGGUGGGCUCUAACAUAGUCCGCUAAUGACGGUACCUGAAGAAGAAGCACCGGCUAACUACGUG